GAGGAUAUAGCUCAGUGAUAGAGUGCCUGCCUAGCAUGCACGAGGUCCUGGAUUCAAUUCCCAGUGCCUCCA
rnacentral:tRNA from 1 species